UAGUGCUUGAUGCGGUUCACUUGACUUUUGGAUGUGGUCUUCUUACAUUUUUGUUAUUUGUUAUGGCCGCGUCUAGGAAGAAAGCCGAUCAAGAGUAUACUUAUGGUAUGUAGGACUGUAGGAGAGGGGUGCUUGGAUAGUUCUUCUGGAAAUAACCCUGUAAUUGCUUUUUCCUUUUCUAUUAUAGUUAUAAUUGUAAUAAUUAGUUUUGGAGAAUUUUUCUGUACAGUUAUGUCAUGUAUCAAAUUGUAGAAUUCAUAAGGUAUGAGUGAAUAUGUAUGACAAAGUGGUGCACUGACUACAUUCUGUAGAAAGCAUGAUUGUUUUUCCUGCGUGCUAAAGGGAACUUGUUAGUUCUUUACCACUUGGUAUUGCUAGAUUUUAUAAGCUGAAGAACCUACAUUUGGCUCA